rnacentral:rRNA from 1 species
AUUGAACGCUGGCGGCAGGCUUAACACAUGCAAGUCGAGCGGGGAAGGUUGCUUUGGUAACUGACCUAGCGGCGGACGGGUGAGUAAUGCUUAGGAAUCUGCCUAUUAGUGGGGGACGACAUUCCGAAAGGAAUGCUAAUACCGCAUACGCCCUACGGGGGAAAGCAGGGGAUCUUCGGACCUUGCGCCAAUAGAUGAGCCUAAGUCGGAUUAGCUAGUUGGUGGGGUAAAGGCCUACCAAGGCGACGAUCUGUAGCGGGUCUGAGAGGAUGAUCCGCCACACUGGGACUGAGACACGGCCCAGACUCCUACGGGAGGCAGCAGUGGGGAAUAUUGGACAAUGGGCGGAAGCCUGAUCCAGCCAUGCCGCGUGUGUGAAGAAGGCCUUUUGGUUGUAAAGCACUUUAAGCGAGGAGGAGGCUCCUUUAGUUAAUACCUAAAGAGAGUGGACGUUACUCGCAGAAUAAGCACCGGCUAACUCUGUGCCAGCAGCCGCCGUAAAAC